AUGUUGAAAUGCUGGGGAGCAGUCUCACAUAUCCGUAACAGCCUAGCGAAGUCGAAGGAGCGACCUCGGAUAGGAAAGGCUGUCAGUAUUUUCAUAGACAUGGAUUCGACAGGGGGACGAGCAAACGAAUGGAUUUACAAG